rnacentral:rRNA from 1 species
GGGAAUCUUGCGCAAUGGGCGAAAGCCUGACGCAGCCAUGCCGCGUGGAUGAUGAAGGUCUUAGGAUUGUAAAAUCCUUUCAGCGGGGACGAUAAUGACGGUACCCGCAGAAGAAGCCCCGGCUAACUUCGUGCCAGCAGCCGCGGUAAUACGAAGGGGGCUAGCGUUGCUCGGAUUUACUGGGCGUAAAGGGCGCGUAGGCGGACAGUUUAGUUGGGGGUGAAAGCCCGGGGCUCAACCUCGGAAUUGCCUUCAAUACUGGCUGUCUUGAGUACGGGAGAGGUGAGUGGAACUCCGAGUGUAGAGGUGAAAUUCGUAGAUAUUCGGAAGAACACCAGUGGCGAAGGCGGCUCACUGGCCCGUUACUGACGCUGAGGCGCGAAAGCGUGGGGAGCAAAC